rnacentral:misc_RNA from 1 species
UUUUUUUUUUGUAGAAAACAAAAACCAUCCUUGGUAAACGUAAAAUUGUUGGGAACCAAUAAUUUCGAGUCCUGUCAUUAAUACAAUAAACAACAUUUACAUUAUUGGUUUCCUCCAACCAAACCAACAUCGUAAAGGCGAUGUGAAACGAACUACUCAUAUUAAAGCAUCCAACAUAACUCACAACUUCAAUAAUUAUAAUAACAGCAUAUAAGCUACUCACAUGCCAGUU